UUGAUCGGUGUUAUUGUAUGAUGCAAAGAAAUCCGUUUCUGACUAACAAAGGGGUGAACCUUUGGAGGAUGUUCCAACACUCCGAAGGGUAUGAAGACCGGGACCUUACAAUUAGAGUCGGAUCCUUAAGAUAAAGGCAAGAAUAACAAUUGUCUGAAAACCGAAUACUUCGUCAUUUCUCAAUAGUGAUGGAGUAAUAUGACAUGCACUAAA